GAUGAACGCUAGCUACAGGCUUAACACAUGCAAGUCGAGGGGAAACGACAUUGAAGCUUGCUUCGAUGGUCGUCGACCGGCGCACGGGUGAGUAACGCGUAUCCAACCUGCCUCUGACCAAGGGAUAACCCGUCGAAAGUCGGCCUAAUACCUUAUGCAGUCGUCGGAAGUCAUCUGAUGACGACGAAAGAUUUCAUCGGUGAGAGAUGGGGAUGCGUCUGAUUAGCUUGUUGGCGGGGUAACGGCCCACCAAGGCAACGAUCAGUAGGGGUUCUGAGAGGAAGGUCCCCCACAUUGGAACUGAGACACGGUCCAAACUCCUACGGGAGGCAGCAGUGAGGAAUAUUGGUCAAUGGGCGAGAGCCUGAACCAGCCAAGUAGCGUGCAGGAUGACGGCCCUAUGGGUUGUAAACUGCUUUUAUGCGGGGAUAAAGUGAGGGACGUGUCCUUCAUUGCAGGUACCGCAUGAAUAAGGACCGGCUAAUUCCGUG
rnacentral:rRNA from 1 species